rnacentral:rRNA from 2 species
UUGACCUCGGAUCAGGUAGGAUUACCCGCUGAACUUAAGCAUAUCAAUAAGCGGAGGAAAAGAAACCAACAGGGAUUGCCUCAGUAACGGCGAGUGAAGCGGCAACAGCUCAGAUUUGGAAUCUGGUCCUUUGGGGCCCGAGUUGUAAUCUGGAGAGGAUGCUUCUGGCGCGGCGCCGUCCGAGUUCCCUGGAACGGGACGCCGGAGAGGGUGAGAGCCCCGUACGGUCGGACGCCUAGCCUGUGUGAAGCUCCUUCGACGAGUCGAGUAGUUUGGGAAUGCUGCUCAAAAUGGGAGGUAAAUUUCUUCUAAAGCUAAAUACCGGCCAGAGACCGAUAGCGCACAAGUAGAGUGAUCGAAAGAUGAAAAGCACUUUGAAAAGAGGGUCAAACAGUACGUGAAAUUGUUGAAAGGGAAGCGCCCGUGGCCAGACUUGUGCCCGGCAGACCAUCCGGCGCCCCCGCGCCGGUGCACUCUGCCGGGCGCAGGCCAGCAUCGGUUUUCCUAGGGGGAUAAAGGCGGCGGGAACGUGGCUCCCUCGGGAGCGUUAUAGCCCGCCGUGUCAUGCCUCUGGGGGGACCGAGGACCGCGCAUUUAUGCAAGGAUGCUGGCGUAAUGGCCACCGGCGACC